CGGUAUGAGUAGCGAAAGAUAGGUGAGAAUCCUAUCCACCGAAUGAGUAAGGUUUCCCCCGGAAGGCUCGUCCGCGGGGGGUUAGUCGGGACCUAAGGCGAGGCUGAAAAGCGUAGUCGAUGGACAACAGGUUGAUAUUCCUGUACCGAUAUUUAAUUGCCGAAGGAAGGACGCAGAAGGAUAACACAGGCCACUAUUGGAUGUGGUUUUAAACAGUUAGUCUUCAUAAGAGUCAAAUGCUUUUAUGUUUAAGGAUAAGCUGUGAAUGUACCAAGUUUACUUGGGAAUUGUGUGAUUUCACGCUGCUGAAAAAAGUUUCGUAGGAAGAAAAUAUUGCCCGUACCGCAAACCGACACAGGUACUCGAGUGGAGAACACUAAGGUGAGCGAGUGAACUAUUGUUAAGGAACUCUGCAAAAUGAGUCCGUAACUUCGGAAGAAGGACUGCUGGUUUUAUACCAGCCGCAGCAAAUAGGCCCAAACAACUGUUUAUCAAAAACACAGGUUUCUGCAAAAUCGUAAGAUGAAGUAUAGGGGCUGACGCCUGCCCAGUGCUGGAAGGUUAAAAGG
rnacentral:rRNA from 1 species